rfam:Colletotrichum gloeosporioides Nara gc5 unplaced genomic scaffold scaffold597, whole genome shotgun sequence.
GUCAAGGUGCCAGAGUGGUUAAUGGGCUGCCCUGCUACGGAAUGCCUCGAUUUACCGAGACAACCUAGCUGCCAGGCAGUGGCUUCGGUCGCGCAGGUUCGAAUCCUGUCCUUGACG